rnacentral:tRNA from 1 species
GGGUUCGUAGCGCAAUCGGUAGCGCAGUAGACUUUUAAUCUAUUGGUUGUGGGUUCAAGUCCCACCGGACCCA